rnacentral:tRNA from 5 species
CGAUAGCUCAGUCGGUAGAGCAAAUGACUGUUAAUCAUUGGGUCCCAGGUUCGAGUCCUGGU